rnacentral:rRNA from 1 species
GACGAACGCUGGCGGCGUGCUUAACACAUGCAAGUCGAACGGUGAAGCUCCAGCUUGCUGGAGUGGAUCAGUGGCGAACGGGUGAGUAACACGUGAGCAACCUGCCCCUGACUCUGGAAUAAGCGCUGGAAACGGCGUCUAAUACUGGAUAUGAGAAGGGUCCGCAUGGACACUUUCUGGAAAGUUUUUCGGUUGGGGAUGGGCUCGCGGCCUAUCAGCUUGUUGGUGAGGUAAUGGCUCACCAAGGCGACGACGGGUAGCCGGCCUGAGAGGGCGACCGGCCACACUGGGACUGAGACACGGCCCAGACUCCUACGGGAGGCAGCAGUGGGGAAUAUUGCACAAUGGGCGAAAGCCUGAUGCAGCGACGCCGCGUGAGGGAUGACGGCCUUCGGGUUGUAAACCUCUUUCAGCAGGGAAGAAGCGAAAGUGACGGUACCUGCAGAAGAAGCACCGGCUAACUACGUG